rnacentral:lncRNA from 1 species
GAUAUGCUUAUAAUGCUUCUUGGGACUUAUGAAUUGAGGUUUUGUGUUGAUAGGUAAAUGCUGAAUCAUUUCCCUAUUACAAGUUAUUGGAUGACUAAAGGGCUGCUACGUUUCGAAUUUCUUGAUCCCCUGUUGUAGAAUUGAGCCAAAUACUUCCAUUUUCUUCUUUUCCAGUGCUAUUCCAAUCUCAACUCCAUUACUGCCGUCUCUGGACUCUGAGAAUGCGAUUGAACCACCUGUUUCUAUGUGCACUAUCUCCAUUUUGCAGGGCUUUCCUAACCCAAAAUCCAUAUCAUACAGUCCCAAUUUCGGAGCUCCUGCUAUUGAGGUUGGAAAACGGGACAUGACCCAUUUACGUACUCCUUGUCCCCAUGUUGGUGCUGUUUUCAGUAGAUCGCUUGAUAACAUAUCUUUGAUUCUCGCUGUGAUUGCGUCUGAAGCAGCCAAAACGCAUUUCUCUCCUAACAAAUCUCGUUUCUUGACAGAUACGAUCCCAGGAGCCAUGCAGUUGCCAAAGUAUGUUUGUGGUAUUGGUUGUGUGUACUUGAGACGAUUCCUGCAAUCCACAUUGAUCAUCAAGUGAAAGACUUCGUCUUUGUCUUCCUCCUCAGCCUCUGUUUCACUGUCUUGAACAAUUGUCUUCAUCAAGCUUACCCAAAUGAGAGCUAGAGUUACCACGAAGGUAGAAACAGGAGAUUGAUUCUCAGACUGCUCUUUAACCCAGCUCUUGAGAUUGUCUAUCUGAUUCCGGCUCAUUGUAAAAGUAGCUCUAACCAUGUUCUCAGGCGUAACAUGUGAACUGUUUUUUCCAGAGUUUUGGCUCCAAAACCGCUCCAAAUGUCCUGCGCCUACCUCUCCUGGGUCCUUGAUCAUGUUUCUGCAGCUGUGAAUAGGCAGAGGGGGUAGAAGAACCGU